GGGGGGGACCUGAUCCAGCCAUGCCGCGUGUGUGAAGAAGGCCUUUUGGUUGUAAAGCACUUUAAGCGAGGAGGAGGCUACCGAGAUUAAUACUCUUGGAUAGUGGACGUUACUCGCAGAAUAAGCACCGGCUAACUCUGUGCCAGCAGCCGCGGUAAUACAGAGGGUGCAAGCGUUAAUCGGAUUUACUGGGCGUAAAGCGCGCGUAGGUGGCCAAUUAAGUCAAAUGUGAAAUCCCCGAGCUUAACUUGGGAAUUGCAUUCGAUACUGGUUGGCUAGAGUAUGGGAGAGGAUGGUAGAAUUCCAGGUGUAGCGGUGAAAUGCGUAGAGAUCUGGAGGAAUACCGAUUGCGAAGGCAGA
rnacentral:rRNA from 1 species